AAGGAAGCAGAGAUGAUGUCACAAAACAAGGAAGAAAUCUAACAAUCAGAACUGAGUCACAGGUCAAGGCCAGUCCAUCUUGCUGUAGAAGGCCCAGUCUUCCAAAGAUGAAAAUUCUGAUACCAGAGUUACAGAUAACUUCCACCGUCCUGGAAAUAAGAUGAGCCAGAGAAAGGUUAAAAGGCUUGCCUACACCUUCACAGCUUACUUAGUGGCAGAUUCUGCAUCAGAACCUGGGACUUGUAAUUUCCAGCCCAAUCAUCUUUAGCUGACCAUGUUGUUUCUUCAUAAGAUAUCUGUCUUGAGCAAGUGGAGGAGAAGAGAAGAUAGAGUGAAGGUGGGAAGAGCGUGCAAGGAAAACAGGAUCAAGGGUUCUGAUUUGGACACAUUAAGACUGGCAUGCCUCUUAGAUGUCGAAGUGGACGUGUCUACAAUUGGAGAAACAUCAAGGAGGAUAAUGACAGCAGAGCAGAGAUGUUUCCAAAACAGGAGUGUUGGCUGCUGACAGGUUACAACUGAGGCUUCCCGAAGAUUUGCCUUCAGUGAAGGAAGUGGCCUCUCCCAAGAUCUCCUAUCCACAGCGGUGAGGGGGUGGCUGCAACAGGGGUGGAAGAUGCAAAGACCCGAUCCUUUUAACUCAAUUUGAGACAAAUUGAAUGAGUCAUCCCACCUCCUGAGCACCCCUCCCCAAGAGGGCACCUCAGGCCAAAUUCUGCCUCCAUCCUACUUCCUCAUGCCCUCACAAAUGUGUUCUCAGCAGACUCUCUGCACACAACUCUCUGCCUCAGAAUCUACUUCCUGGGGAACCCAACCUAAGACAGUAAAAGACGUCAUUAAGCAUAUUCAAGUAAUAAAUAAUCAAAUGAUACAGAUUUCUCUACCUUUUGUGUAGACGAAGCCACAGUGUAAAAAAGGAAACACGGUGGAUAAUACCCAAAAUAUAGAAUACGUGAUCAGA